UGGAGGACUGAGAAGGUAAGACAGGUAAACUUUAUGCUGUACCUUAGUGGUUAUAGCCUCCAGAAUGGUAAUAGUGCAAUAGCAACUCAUGUUCCCCUUCUGACAUGAGGGAAAGCAAUACUGCAUUUG
rnacentral:snoRNA from 1 species